UGUGUACUCCCUCCGUUCCAAAAUACUUGACUUCCAUUUGUCCAAAAAUGGAUGUACCUAUAUACUAAAGCAUGUCUAGAUACAUAUAUAUUUUGACAAAUAGAAGGCAUGUAUUGUGCAACGGAGGGAGUAGAAU
rfam:Triticum aestivum genome assembly, contig: Triticum_aestivum_CS42_TGACv1_scaffold_222137_3B